GAUCGAACGGCGUAGCGACAGGCUUAACACAUGCAAGUCGAGGGGCAGCGGGGAGUAGCAAUACUCUGCCGGCGACCGGCGCACGGGUGAGUAACGCGUAUGCAACUUACCUAUCAGAGGAGAAUAGCUCAUCGAAAGAUGAAUUAAUGCUCCAUAAAACAGGGGUCCCGCAUGGGAAUAUUUGUUAAAGAUUUAUCGCUGAUAGAUAGGCAUGCGUUCCAUUAGGCAGUUGGCGGGGUAACGGCCCACCAAACCGACGAUGGGUAGGGGUUCUGAGAGGAAGGUCCCCACAUUGGUACUGAGACACGGACCAA
rnacentral:rRNA from 1 species